AGGCUGGAGUGCAGUGGUGCCAUCUUGGCUCACCGCAACCUCUGCCUUCUGGUUUCAAGCAAUUCUUCUGCCUCAUCCUCCCAAGUAGUUGGGAUUACAGGUGCCCACCACCAUGCUCAGAUUUGUAAGACUCCAGGGCCUCCCAGCCGUGAAUAAUCUGAUGGUUCCUGAAAUGACUGGGGAAACAGACGCUUCGUAUGGCAGUUGAAGAGUGUGUGUCUAUGUGCAUUUAAAAUCUUCUUUCUGUACUUACACAUUCAUACGGGAAGACAGGCUCAUUCUUGUGCACACUUGAGAGUUUUACAACUGAUGAAAAUUAAUUUAAGAAUCAGAUGGAGCAACUUGACACCACUGGGCUCAGGAGCCCGGGGAGAAAAAUACAUCACUAAUGGCCAAUUUUCCAUAUGGUCUGCACGGGUAAAGAAAGUCUGCA
rnacentral:sRNA from 1 species